GAAAGGCUCAUUAAAUCAGUUAUGGUUCCUUAGAUCGUACCCACAAUUACUUGGAUAACUGUGGUAAUUCUAGAGCUAAUACAUGCAAAUAGAGCUCCGACCGGAGACGGAAGGAGUGCUUUUAUUAGAUCAAAACCAAUCGGUGGCGGGUUCGCGCUCGUCAUCGUACAACUUGGUGACUCUGAAUAACUUUAAGCUGAUCGCACGGUCUUAGCACCGGCGACGCAUCUUUCAAAUGUCUGCCUUAUCAACUGUCGAUGGUAGGUUCUGCGCCUACCAUGGUCGUAACGGGUAACGGGGAAUCAGGGUUCGAUUCCGGAGAGGGAGCCUGAGAAACGGCUACCACAUCCAAGGAAGGCAGCAGGCGCGCAAAUUACCCACUCCCGGCACGGGGAGGUAGUGACRAAAAAUAACGAUACGGGACUCAUCCGAGGCCCCGUAAUCG
rnacentral:rRNA from 1 species